rnacentral:rRNA from 1 species
AGACCCGAAACCCGGUGAUCUAGCCAUGGGCAGGUUGAAGGUUGGGUAACACUAACUGGAGGACCGAACCGACUAAUGUUGAAAAAUUAGCGGAUGACCUGUGGCUGGGGGUGAAAGGCCAAUCAAACCGGGAGAUAGCUGGUUCUCCCCGAAAGCUAUUUAGGUAGCGCCUCGUGAAUUCAUCUCCGGGGGUAGAGCACUGUUUCGGCUAGGGGGCCAUCCCGGCUUACCAACCCGAUGCAAACUGCGAAUACCGGAGAAUGUUAUCACGGGAGACACACGGCGGGUGCUAACGUCCGUCGUGAAGAGGGAAACAACCCAGACCGCCAGCUAAGGUCCCAAAGUCAUGGUUAAGUGGGAAACGAUGUGGGAAGGCCCAGACAGCCAGGAUGUUGGCUUAGAAGCAGCCAUCAUUUAAAGAAAGCGUAAUAGCUCACUGGUCGAGUCGGCCUGCGCGGAAGAUGUAACGGGGCUAAACCAUGCACCGAAGCUGCGGCAGCGACACUGUGUGUUGUUGGGUAGGGGAGCGUUCUGUAAGCCUGUGAAGGUGGCCUGUGAGGGUUGCUGGAGGUAUCAGAAGUGCGAAUGCUGACAUAAGUAACGAUAAAGCGGGUGAAA